rnacentral:other from 1 species
AUUGUUCUGCGGCGUUUGUGAGGAUCUGAUCCACCUGAGCCGUUCUUUGUUGCUCUGGAACCACGCUCUGGCCGUCAAGGUUCGCCUGGUGCGGCCAAUCGGGGAUCCCCUUUACAAUCGGGGUUCAGGCCAAGGAGGUUCCACGGCGUCCGCGGGACAUUU